rnacentral:rRNA from 1 species
UACGUAGGGUGCGAGCGUUGUCCGGAAUUAUUGGGCGUAAAGGGCUCGUAGGCGGUUUGUCGCGUCGGGAGUGAAAACCCAGGGCUUAACUCUGGGCUUGCUUUCGAUACGGGCAGACUAGAGGUAUGCAGGGGAGAACGGAAUUCCUGGUGUAGCGGUGAAAUGCGCAGAUAUCAGGAGGAACACCGGUGGCGAAGGCGGGUUGCUGGGCCGACACUGACGCUGAGGCGCGAAAGCCAGGGGAGCGAACGGG